rnacentral:rRNA from 1 species
UACAGAGGUCUCAAGCGUUGUUCGGAUUCAUUGGGCGUAAAGGGUGCGUAGGCGGCGCGGUAAGUCGGGUGUGAAAUUUCGGAGCUUAACUCCGAAACUGCAUUCGAUACUGCCGUGCUUGAGGACUGGAGAGGAGACUGGAAUUUACGGUGUAGCAGUGAAAAUGCGUAGAGAUCGUAAGGAAGACCAGUGGCGAAGGCGGGUCUCUGGACAGUUCCUGACGCUGAGGCACGAAGGCCAGGGGGAGCAAAACGGG